rnacentral:rRNA from 1 species
UGGGGAAUAUUGGACAAUGGGGGAAACCCUGAUCCAGCCAUGCCGCGUGUGUGAAGAAGGCCCUCGGGUUGUAAAGCACUUUCAGCGAGGAAGAACGCCUAGCGGUUAAUACCCGCUAGGAAAGACAUCACUCGCAGAAGAAGCACCGGCUAACUCCGUGCCAGCAGCCGCGGUAAUACGGAGGGUGCAAGCGUUAAUCGGAAUUACUGGGCGUAAAGCGCGCGUAGGUGGCUUGAUAAGCCGGUUGUGAAAGCCCCGGGCUCAACCUGGGAACGGCAUCCGGAACUGUCAAGCUAGAGUGCAGGAGAGGAAGGUAGAAUUCCCGGUGUAGCGGUGAAAUGCGUAGAGAUCGGGAGGAAUACCAGUGGCGAAGGCGGCCUUCUGGACUGACACUGACACUGAGGUGCGAAAGCGUGGGUAGCAAACAGG